GACGAACGCUGGCGGCGUGCCUAACACAUGCAAGUCGAGCGGAGAAAGUUCUUCGGAACUUUCUUAGCGGCGGACGGGUGAGAAACACGUGGGUAACCUGCCCAUAAGACUGGGAUAACUCCGGGAAACCGGGGCUAAUACCGGAUAACAUUUUGAACUGCAUGGUUCGAAAUUGAAAGGCGGCUUCGGCUGUCACUUAUGGAUGGACCCGCGUCGCAUUAGCUAGUUGGUGAGGUAACGGCUCACCAAGGCAACGAUGCGUAGCCGACCUGAGAGGGUGAUCGGCCACACUGGGACUGGGACACGGCCCAGACUCCUACGGGAGGCAGCAGUAGGGAAUCUUCCGCAAUGGACGAAAGUCUGACGGAGCAACGCCGCGUGAGUGAUGAAGGCUUUCGGGUCGUAAAACUCUGUUGUUAGGGAAGAACAAGUGCUAGUUGAAUAAGCUGGCACCUUGACGGUACCUAACCAGAAAGCCACGGCUAACUACGUGCCAGCCGCCGCAGUAAAAC
rnacentral:rRNA from 1 species